UACAGGGGGGGCAAGCGUUGUUCGGAAUUACUGGGCGUAAAGCGUGCGCAGGCGGUCUUGCAAGACAGAUGUGAAAUCCCCGGGCUUAACCUGGGAACUGCAUUUGUGACUGCAAGGCUGGAGUGCGGCAGAGGGGGAUGGAAUUCCGCGUGUAGCAGUGAAAUGCGUAGAUAUGCGGAGGAACACCGAUGGCGAAGGCAAUCCCCUGGGCCUGCACUGACGCUCAUGCACGAAAGCGUGGGGAGCAAACAGG
rnacentral:rRNA from 1 species